GACGAACGCUGGCGGCGUGCCUAAUACAUGCAAGUUGAGCGAUGAAGAUUGGUGCUUGCCCCAAUUUGAAGAGCAGCGAACGGGUGAGUAACGCGUGGGGAAUCUGCCUUUGAGCGGGGGACAACAUUUGGAAACGAAUGCUAAUACCGCAUACAACUUUUAACCUUAGUUUUAAGGUUGAAAGAUGCCAUUUCAUUACUUAAAGAUGAUCCCGCGUUGUAUUAGCUAGUUGGUGAGGUAAAGGCUCACCAAGGCGAUGAUACAUAGCCGACCUGAGAGGGUGAUCGGCCACAUUGGGACUGAGACACGGCCCAAACUCCUACGGGAGGCAGCAGUAGGGAAUCUUCGGCAAUGGACGAAAGUCUGACCGAGCAACGCCGCGUGAGUGAAGAAGGUUUUCGGAUCGUAAAACUCUGUUGGUAGAGAAGAACGUUGGUGAGAGUGGAAAGCUCAUCAAGUGACGGUAACUACCCAGAAAGGGACGGCUAACUACGUG
rnacentral:rRNA from 1 species